GUAAUUGAUUACAUUGUUUUGCUGACGCUGAUUGCAAUAAAAAAAAAGGUUUGAAUAAAGUCCAAUUGGCGGGCGAGCCCGCCAAGGAAACAAGUAGUACGCAAAAGACAUGGGUGAAUAUGGCGCCAGAAUGGGCAAACCCCCAAAAGCGGGGACUACCCAAUCUGCCUUCAUAUUUGUGUAAUGAUCCCUCCGCAGGUUCACCUACGGAGA
rnacentral:misc_RNA from 1 species